rnacentral:rRNA from 1 species
UACGGAGGGUGCAAGCGUUAUCCGGAUUCACUGGGCUUAAAGGGUGCGUAGGUGGGCUGGUAAGUCAGUGGUGAAAUCUCCAGGCUUAACUUGGAAACUGCCAUUGAUACUAUCAGUCUUGAAUACUGUGGAGGUCAGCGGAAUAUGUCAUGUAGCGGUGAAAUGCUUAGAUAUGACAUAGAACACCAAUUGCGAAGGCAGCUGGCUACACGAAUAUUGACACUGAUGCACGAAAGCGUGGGGAUCAAACAGG